AACGAACGCUGGCGGCAUGCCUAACACAUGCAAGUCGAACGAGACCUUCGGGUCUAGUUGCUCACGGGUGCGUAACGCGUGGGAACCUGCCAUUAGGUUCGGAAUAACCCAGAUUCAUUUGAGCUAACACCGGAUAAUGUCUUCGGACCAAAGAUUUAUCGCCUUUGGAUGGGCCCGCGUAGGAUUAGCUUGUUGGUGGGGUAAUGGCCUACCAAGGCGACGAUCCUUAGCUGGUCUGAGAGGAUGGUCAGCCACACUGAGACUGAGACACGGCCCAGACUCGUACGGGAGGCAGCAGUGGGGAAUAUUGGACAAUGGGAGAGAGCCUGAUCCAGCGAUGGCGCGUGAGUGAUUAAGGUCUUAGGGUUAUGAAGCUCUUUUACCAGGGAUGAUAAUGACGGUACCUGGAGAAUAAGCACCGGCUAACUCCGUG
rnacentral:rRNA from 1 species